rnacentral:misc_RNA from 1 species
CAAAACUCCUCAACCAGGUCACUUCGCAGUAUCCAUUUGAUUGUUGGGGAAUGUAAUGUUUAUGUAGUUUAGCUGUAAUGUGUCCAAAUUUAAUGAGGAUGAGGUUGCUUCUUACAGAUGGGAAUGCUGUUCAGUUUGAGAGUGGCUACUUAGUUGAGACUAUUGUGGAGGGAAAUGAAAUUGGAAUGGUUCCUUACAAGAUUCGUGUCUCCGAGGAUGGCGAACUCUUUGCUGUUGAUUCGGUUAAUAGCAAUGUUGUCAAGGUUUCUCCACCAUUAUCUCGAUAUAGUAGAG